rnacentral:rRNA from 1 species
AUUGAACGCUGGCGGCAUGCCUUACACAUGCAAGUCGAACGGUAACGGGCCUUCGGGUGCCGACGAGUGGCGAACGGGUGAGUAAUACAUCGGAACGUGCCCGAUCGUGGGGGAUAACGAGGCGAAAGCUUUGCUAAUACCGCAUACGAUCUACGGAUGAACGCAGGGGACCGCAAGGCCUUGCGCGGACGGAGCGGCCGAUGGCAGAUUAGGUAGUUGGUGGGAUAAAAGCUUACCAAGCCGACGAUCUGUAGCUGGUCUGAGAGGAUGAUCAGCCACACUGGGACUGAGACACGGCCCAGACUCCUACGGGAGGCAGCAGUGGGGAAUUUUGGACAAUGGGCGCAAGCCUGAUCCAGCCAUGCCGCGUGCAGGAUGAAGGCCUUCGGGUUGUAAACUGCUUUUGUACGGAACGAAAAGCCUUCUUUUAAUACAGGAGGGUCAUGACGGUACCGUAAGAAUAAGCACCGGCUAACUACGUG